UAAUGCCACCUUUUCCAAUACGUGGCAGUAGCUAAAUAAAUUGAUAGCAUUACGUUCUUAUAAGUGUAAUAAAUCAAGUGCACUUGAAAGUGCAUAGUGCCACGUGAAAAUAAGGAGACAAAUCAGUCAAAUGAGGAUUUGUAGAUAAUUUCAAGGUGACAAGGAUGUCCCCACGUGGCUUUAUAGAAAGGAGCAGCAAGUGACUAGUACAAAUUGUCAUUUGGUGGCAUCUUUAUAGCCAAUUUCUUAGUGAUAGAGUCUUGCCUUUAAUUGUGUGGAGCCGUGGCCAUAAAUAGAGGAAUUCUUCACUUAAGCUUUCAUUUUAGUGAUAUGGAAGUUAAUAAAAUAGGGCUGCUCUCUGCAGAGCCAUGACAAACAAAAAUGAACAGAGGAUUGUUCAUGAUUUUGGUCUCGUUGUUUCAUUUUGUGGUGUUGUUGAAUCCGGGUUUUUUCGUAGUGAAGUAAGGUGGAAGAAGAUUAUUUCUUGGAAUAUAAGAUGGUACGAGACUAGUGAGACGUGGGCCGAAUUCUAUAGAGUUAUGAAAUUUGCAGGUUCAAGAAAUGAGACAUAGGAUGAGUAAAUAAGCGACGAGGUACGCCCAGAUGAGUUGAAGUUAUUACAGAAGAUGUUCCAGCGGAGUUGGUAGGCUCCAUUUGCUCCCGGAGUGUUGCCGAGUCAGAGUUUAUAUGUAAUGAUUUCUGGAUUUAUGUUAGAGACUUUGCAGAUAGAGUUGUGGGUAUUGGUUAUCAGUCUGUAAGCGGCUCCAUCAGCCGAUAUGUCAUUCUGUGUUAUGUAAUAAAUUUUAUAUAAUUACGGAUUUUGUUUAAAAUUGAGAACGAUAAAAGAUGGAUUUCAAAAACUUAAUAUGUAUUUUACUUUUAUCUGAUUUUCAGAGUCUGAAGAAAUUAUGUGUGUAAUAAGAAUCUGUGGGUUCGCUCUCCUCCGGAUAUGGGGUCGGGUGCCCAUCACACCCUAGCGGAAUUGGGGUGUGACAACUUAUGUCAUGGUAUUUUGUAUAUGUUAGAGACUUUGCAGACAGUGUCCUGUGGAUAGGGCGUCGUGAAGUGAGAAUCAUUUAUAGAUGUUACAAGAGUAUGUAUUUUCAGGUGACUUCAGUUGGUAAAAAGUACGUAAUUGAUUGAAAGUUUUUCAUAAUAUGUAUAAAGAUAAUGACCUCUAUUUGGAAAAGUUUCAUGUUUUUAAAAGUUUUUGAAAUGAUAGGUUUUGGUAAAGCGAAUGUUUAAGGGUUCGCUCGACUCUGGAGAGAGUCGGGUGCCCAUCAUGCCCUAUCAAGAUGAGGGUGUGAC